AAGUCGUAACAAGGUUUCCGUAGGUGAACCUGCGGAAGGAUCAUUAAUGAAGUUUUUUGGGGUUUUAAAUCUCAAAAAAUAAUUCACCUUUUGUGCAUUGUUAUUAGAUAUACUUUGGUUAGAGCUUUGAUUUCAUUUAAUGGAAUCAACUUCUUGCUAACUCUAUCCUUUCUGAGGACAGUUGGCUAUGAAGCGGCCUACCAAGGUUUUUUAUCAAACACAUUUAAUUUAUCUGACCUAAAUAUCAAUAAUUAAAUCAUAACUUUCAACAACGGAUCUCUUGGCUCUC
rnacentral:misc_RNA from 1 species